rnacentral:rRNA from 1 species
AUGAACCCUAGCGCUCCAGAUCCGCCACCCACCCUGAUCCCUCCCCUCGUCUCUGCCGCCGCCACCCCGCCGAUCCCAUCCUUCCUGAUUCAGAUCCAUUCUCCCCGAUUCAGAUCUGACCACCUUCCACCACCACCUCCUCCUUCCUCGACGCGUCCCACAGCGGUGCCCACCGCGUCGCCUGACUGUCGUCCCUCUCCCUCUACGACAUCACCGCCACGCCCGGCAUCGCAGCCGACGUCUCCCAUAUCACACCCACGCCCUGGUGAAGGGAUUUGUUGGGGACAACCAGCUCUAUCUCCUCCCUCCCUCGAUCCGCGCCAUGGCAGGCACCGAAACAAGCACCGGCGGGAGCGCACACUGGCCUGGCGCGCGGUGCUGCAGCGACCAGAGCGCGCCCAUCAACCGCGCCGGUGCGUGCGGAGUCGAUCCCGCGGCCGUCGUCACGUGAACCACCACCGCCUCGUCGCUGAUAAGGCCACGAUGGAAAGAGACGUUGCUGCCGCCGCGGGAAGCCGCCCUCGUCGCCGUUCCUCUUCUUCUUCUCCGUGGCCCCGCUCCCUUUCCACUCCUUCGAGCACAAGCAGUAGCAGCACGCAUCGAGCACAAGCAGCACUAACACUUGGUGGCGAGCAUGUACACGCUGCACACACACACACACAAGCUAUCUAA